ensembl:snRNA U6 U6 spliceosomal RNA
GCGCUUGCUUUGGCAGCACAUAUGCUAACACUGGAACAAUGCAGGGAAGAUUAGCAAGGCCCCUGGGCAAGAAUGGCACAUAAAUUCAUAAAGAUUCCAUAUUUUUUU